rnacentral:lncRNA from 9 species
AUGGGUUCUCAGAGCACCAUCAACCUCUUUUCUAGUGCUUUUCUUGUAGGUAUGUACACAAAGUCUGUUUCCCAGCUCCCCUCAACACUCUAUGGAGGAAGAGACUGCUUCUAUUCCCCAAUACUGGACCGCGGCCCUUCAUAUUCAUCCACGGAGCUGGCACAGUGGUUAACCCUUGGGAUGGUGAGAGUGUGUGGGACUGGCCAGGGGGGCUGCGUGGGCCCGACCUUCCAAAGUGAGAACCGAUGCCUUAUAUUCAAAGGGCUUAUCAUGCACAUCCCACUUGCCAGCAACAGGAUCACAUCUCACGUGGGGGCUGCCUGUCUUUGGGGAAGAGGUGGAGUGCUGGUAUGAAUCAUGCUGUCACCCGUGCAGAUGGAGAAAUGCCACUCGCCCUGAAUUUACGGGUCUGAGGACUCUUUCCUGCGCUGCAUAUGUCAAGUCACAACUGCAUGCUCAUGUCUUUGAACUCUUGUUCCAGAGAGAGGGAAAAAAAAACCUCUGAAGAUGAAAAUUUUCUCACUUUCUUGUCUUUCAGACUGCAGCUAUUUUUCAAGAUACGUUCUUUAUACCCUAAAACAUAAAAUCCCUGGUUUUGCCUUCUUCUCGUGACAAAGAAGGUAGGAAAGAGGGCGUGUUAACAGAGGUGGAAAUGAAACAAGCCUUUUCACAGACUGCUUAAAUGAAGAUUUACCUAACAUUUAGCAGAUGCGCUGAGAGUGCUAAAAGGUUCUGGAGCGUCCCCCAUGGCAUUAGGUAUGAAGACGAAGGUAUUUAGGACUCUGUGUCCCCUGACCUUGCUGAAACUUAGUCUUGAAUACAAAGAGGCAAAGUAGGCCAUGCAAUCAUAGAAUCUGGCAUCUUCUCUAGGAAGGGUCAGAGCUCUAAAAAAAUAAUUUUUACUAGUAAAGUGCUCAGCCAGUGAAAGUCUAUUUUCUUCAGAGAAAAUGGUUCUUAAAUAUUUUAAAAGAUCUAAUUUCUCCACAGAUUCCCAGAAAUGUAGAUGCUAAAUUGAAAAAUGGAAAGAGUUGAAUUGACUUUGGGCACGAUAGCACUUAUGAGUACCAGUUAUUCUUCUCUAAGUUAUCUUUGAAACACAGAUUAUUUCACAAACGAUUCAAUUUCCUGACCCCCAGCUGCAGUGGUUUCAAAUCAUCUAUGGAAAAUCAUUGAUAUUUCUUGCUCAGAAGUUCAAUGUUGCCCAUAAUUUAUCUCCAAAUCAUCUUUCUGGCCAUAUCCCUUUUUCUAACCUUCAAGGUAUCCUACAUUUUCGCCCAGACUAGUCACCUAUCAUUUUGUUUAAAACUAUUCAAACUCUCUCACACACACUUGCCUUUUAUAUCUAGUGUUUCCCAAGCUUGGAAUAAUCUUCCAGGUAUUGAAAUAUUUUUUCAAUUUUUAAGUCUCUACUGAAAUACUUCUUUCUUCACAACAUCGCUCUUGAAUUCCCAAGUGGAAUAUUCAUCCUGUAUUUAAUAUUUAACAGUUCAUUAUUUAUACUCUUAUUGAAUAUUACAUUCUGUUCUGCUUAGAAGUUUUGAAGCAGAUGUCAUCUCUCCUUUUCCUGAAAAUAAAUGUUUUAAUGAAGCAGGUUGAACUUAUUCAUUCCCUUAGUCACCCAUUGAACAAAAAUGAAUUGAUCCAUAUUAAUAAACUAGUAUCUCUGUGUCUUGUAUAAUUCCUAUCCAAAUAUGAAUUUGCAAUAUCUGUCUUUCCUUUUUCAUCAUAGGCAACCAGAGGACAAAAACCACAUGUUAUUUAACUUUUAAUCCCUUAGCUACUUUCAAGUGGUGGGUGCUUCAUAAACAUGUAGUAGAUGGAUGGAUGGAUGGAUGGAAGGUUGGAUGGAUGGAAGGAUGGAUGGAUGAAUAUUGUUUAUUUAUAAUUUUUGAUAGAAGGAUGGAUGGAUGGAUGGAUUAGGCAAUAGCAAAAGCUGAUGGAAUAAAUUAUGAAUUAAGAAUAUUAUCCUUACCCUGUGUCGAGACAAUUACUUUCGCUUUCAACUACUGCGGUGGGUGUGUUGAAUGUGUUAAUUCUGAUUAUUAUUUUGGUGUACUUCAUAGCCCUUCAUUUGGAGAAUCAUCUCUUACUCAUUCCGUAAUAAUCUUCUUGGUCCCUGAGACUCAGAUGAAGUCACCCAUCCAAAAAUUUUGCCACAUGAUCCAGGAU